rnacentral:rRNA from 1 species
GAUGAACGCUGGCGGCGUGCCUAAUACAUGCAAGUCGAGCGAACGGACGAGAAGCUUGCUUCUCUGAUGUUAGCGGCGGACGGGUGAGUAACACGUGGAUAACCUACCUAUAAGACUGGGAUAACUUCGGGAAACCGGAGCUAAUACCGGAUAAUAUUUUGAACCGCAUGGUUCAAAAGUGAAAGACGGUCUUGCUGUCACUUAUAGAUGGAUCCGCGCUGCAUUAGCUAGUUGGUAAGGUAACGGCUUACCAAGGCAACGAUGCAUAGCCGACCUGAGAGGGUGAUCGGCCACACGGGAACUGGAACACGGUCCAGAGUCCUACGGGAGGCAGCAGUAGGGAAUCUGCCGCAAUGGGCGAAAGCCUGACGGAGCAACGCCGCGUGAGUGAUGAAGGUCUUCGGAUCGUAAAACUCUGUUAUUAGGGAAGAACAUAUGUGUAAGUAACUGUGCACAGCUUGACGGUACCGAAUCAGAAAGCCACGGCUAACUACGUG